CCUACGGGGGGCAGCAGUGGGGAAUAUUGGACAAUGGGGGAAACCCUGAACCAGCGAAGCCGCGUGAGUGAAGAAGUAUUUCUGUACGGAAAGCUCUAUCAGCAGGAGAGUAAAUGACGGUACCUGUCUAGUAAUCCCCGGCUAACUACGUGCCAGCACCCGCGGUAAUACGUAGGGGGCCAGCGUUAUCCGGAUUUACUGGGUGUAAAGGGAGCGUAGGCGGCUGCGAAAGUCUGCAGUGAAAUUCCGGGGCCCAACCCCGGAAUUGCUGUGGAAACUGUGAAGCUGGAGUGUAGUUGAGGUAAGCGGAAUGCCUGGUGUAGCGGUGAAAUGCGUAGAUAUCAGGCGGAACACCGGCGGCGAAGGCGGCUUAC
rnacentral:rRNA from 1 species